rnacentral:rRNA from 1 species
UACGUAGGGUCCGAGCGUUGUCCGGAAUUACUGGGCGUAAAGAGCUCGUAGGUGGUUUGUCGCGUUGUUCGUGAAAACUCACAGCUCAACUGUGGGCGUGCGGGCGAUACGGGCAGACUUGAGUACUGCAGGGGAGACUGGAAUUCCUGGUGUAGCGGUGGAAUGCGCAGAUAGUCAGGAGGAACACCGGUGGCGAAGGCGGGUCUCUGGGCAGUAACUGACGCUGGAGGAGCGA